CGGCUGGCCCUUGUCCGACAUGUUCUUACGGCCAUGCCGGUCCACAUUCUCCUUGCGAUGACGAUCGCCCCUUCCGUCCUCAAGCGGAUCACCAAGGUCAUCCGAGACUUCCUCUGGUUUGGCCGCCAUGACGUGAUUGGUGGCUGAUGCCCUGUCUCCUGGGCCCGCGUCUGCCGGCCUCUUGCCCACGGCGCUCUGGCCAUCCGGGACAUUCAGCGCACUGGCGUGGCGCUACACACCCGCUGGCUCUGGCUCUAG
rnacentral:rRNA from 1 species